AACGAACGCUGGCGGCAGGCCUAACACAUGCAAGUCGAGCGAGGACUUCGGUUCUAGCGGCGGACGGGUGAGUAAGGCGUGGGAAUGUGCCCUUCUCUACGGAAUAGCUCUGGGAAACUGGGAGUAAUACCGUAUACGCCCUAUUGGGGAAAGAUUUAUCGGAGAAGGAUCAGCCCGCGUUGGAUUAGGUAGUUGGUGGGGUAAUGGCCUACCAAGCCGACGAUCCAUAGCUGGUUUGAGAGGAUGAUCAGCCACACUGGGACUGAGACACGGCCCAGACUCCUACGGGAGGCAGCAGUGGGGAAUCUUAGACAAUGGGGGCAACCCUGAUCGAGCCAUGCCGCGUGAGUGAUGAAGGCCUUAGGGUUGUAAAGCUCUUUCAGCUGGGAAGAUAAUGACGGUACCAGCAGAAGAAGCCCCGGCUAACUCCGUG
rnacentral:rRNA from 1 species